AUUGAACGCUGGCGGCAGGCCUAACACAUGCAAGUCGAACGAGUGGCGGACGGGUGAGUAAUGUCUGGGAAACUGCCCGAUGGAGGGGGAUAACUACUGGAAACGGUAGCUAAUACCGCAUACCAUCGGAUGUGCCCAGAUUGGAUUAGCUUGUAGGUGAGGUAACGGCUCACCUAGGCGACGAUCCCUAGCUGGUCUGAGAGGAGGAUCAGUCACACUGGAACUGAGACACGGUCCAGAAUCCUACGGGAGGAAGCAGUGGGGAAUAUUGGACAAUGGGCGAAAGCCUGAUCCAGCCAUGCCGCGUGUGGGAAGAAGGUCUUCGGAUUGUAAAGCACUUUAAGUUGGGAGGCGUUACCAACAGAAUAAGCACCGGCUAACUUCGUGCCAGCAGCCGCGGUAAUAC
rnacentral:rRNA from 1 species